GGGAUUUUCGGAGGGGGGGGGGGGGGGGAGAAAGAAAAAAGCAGCUGUUAAAACAGUUGUUGUGCACCAGGGGAAGGGCCCUGCCUUCCUUCCACGCUGCCAAACUCCGUAAACAGUUGUCAUUUUCUUUCACUCGGUGUGGCCCUGCCAGCGGCUGAGUCCCCUGGUUUGGGGGGACGGAGGUGUCGGGCCAACUUCAAGUUUUAGUCCGAAUCGAGAACAAGAAAUGAUCCACAAUCAUCCCAAGUGCAUGGACAUAUGAAAGCAUGUACCUAGAAGACACGACCACCCUGUAGCCACCAACAAGCCCCUCCAGACGCAAAGACAAAUCCUCCUCUGGCUUCCUCUGAAUGAGCUGGGUCUGUUUAAGUCACAUAGGAUCCAUUCACCACAACCCUAAGAAGGCUGUUGCUGCAAUCAUAUGGAUGUCAGAAAGCUUAAGCAGCCAGAAUGGCCACUUCGUGUCUUGCCCGGCAACAUGACAGAGCUACUGAUUUCAAAAGAUCGAUUUUUGUGCGGAAGGAACAUACAGAAAGGGGCUUUCGAUGUAAAGACAGAAGAUUCUGCAUUUCCCAAGAAAAGGAAUUCCUGAAUUCCAAACCCGAGGCAGCAACCUGUUCAGAGGAAGUGUGUGGGUCUCUCAUAGACUGUGUUAAUCGAACUGUUAGAGUCUUUGUAAGUCAUCAAUAAAUGCAGAUAAAGACACCCACCCCUGUAAAAGUUACAAACGUCCAAUUUAUAUUUUCAGAAUGUCA